UACGUAGGGUGCGAGCGUUAAUCGGAAUUACUGGGCGUAAAGCGUGCGCAGGCGGUUGUGCAAGACAGAUGUGAAAUCCCUGGGCUCAACCUGGGAACUGCAUUUGAGACUGCAUGGCUAGAGUAUCGAAGAGGGAAGUGGAAUUUCCGGUGUAGCGGUGAAAUGCGUAGAUAUCGGAAGGAACACCAGUGGCGAAAGCGACUUCCUGGUCGAAUACUGACGUUCAUGUGCGAAAGCGUGGGGAGCAAACAGG
rnacentral:rRNA from 1 species